rnacentral:tRNA from 1 species
AAUUUAUUAGUUUAAAAUAAAACAUUAUAUUUUCAAUAUAAAAAUAAAUUUUAUAUUUAUAAAUUA